UACGGGGGGGAGCAAGCGUUGUUCGGAUUUACUGGGCGUAAAGGGCGCGUAGGCGGCCCGCUAAGUCGAACGUGAAAUCCCCGAGCUCAACUCGGGAACUGCGUCCGAUACUGGAAGGCUUGAAUCCGGGAGAGGGAUGCGGAAUUCCAGGUGUAGCGGUGAAAUGCGUAGAUAUCUGGAGGAACACCGGUGGCGAAGGCGGCAUCCUGGACCGGUAUUGACGCUGAGGCGCGAAAGCCAGGGGAGCAAACGGG
rnacentral:rRNA from 1 species